rnacentral:misc_RNA from 1 species
AAAAUAAAUACAUAAAUAAAUAAAAUAAAACACAGCUCAUUAGAUAUGCAGACCAUUGAAAUGAUGUAUAGUUCAUGAUAUACAUAGUUGACAGUUCUCUUUUUCUUUGUAGCUUUCCCUGUUUAUUAUAUACAAUAGGAAAUCAAUAUUUCAUAUUUUCGGAGGUAAAAACAAGUUCAUAUUAUUGUGAUUACUUGGAUCCUUUUCCUUUCCUUCUGUCAUUGGCCAAAUACUUUACAACUCAUCGUGGAAAAGGAAUGUCUCCAAGGCAUUCUUCUUCUUGCAGCCCCAUUUGCAUUUCCAAGAACACAUGGAAUUGAAGAUUGCAAUUCGUGUGGAAUGCAGGGAAAUGAGGUUUGAUGUUGAAGGAGAUUUUGAUAGAACAAUUGCAUACCCAUCAUCCAUGUAAUCUGUUCCGUCAGGGAACAGCUGCCACAGAAGGCUUCCAGCCCCACUUCCACCUUUCUUUGUGGAGUUCAGAAGGGUCUUGUACACUGUACUGAACAUGGUGUCACGGAAUGAGGAAUUGUAACCAGGGUCUUUUGAUGAUACACCAAACUCUGCAAAUAUGACAGGCAUAUCUAGAUAUUUCUCAGCAUCCUCAAUGUGGGCUUCUAUCCAUGAUUUAGUGAAUUCAAUAUGAGCAUCAGAAAUCUUUUGCGAAAUCCAAGAGUCUGCAUAAAUGUGAACCGAUGCAAAAUCAACACCAAGACUCUGAUGGUUCCUUAUAAAGUCAGUUCCAACUUGUGUUGCAUAAGUGUUAGGGUUGAAUUUAGCCCUCUCUGGAGCUGAGGGACCAUAAAAUCCUUCCAAUCCAAUCUCCACUAAAUGUUUUGCAUCCAUGCUUUUGAUGUAGACUGCCAUUUCUUGUAUCCAUGACUGCAAUUUAUCACCAGAAGGAUCUGUGGUGCAUCGAGGUUCGUUCAUCAAUUCCCAUGCAAAUAUUGUUGGAUCAUCCUUGUAAGUUAUGUUUGUGAGCGUAUUAACUCUGUUGAGCACCGUCUUAACAUGAGCCUUGUAGUAGCUUCUGAGAGUAGGAUGAGAGAAGAAAUCAUCAUCAGAUGUCAAAUUAAGUCCAGAAGCUUUUCCCCAUUUAACAUAUUGUGCUUUGCCACCAUAUGCAUCCCAGUUGUUAGCUAACGAUAAAAUGAGCCUGAUCUUGUACUUUCUUGCUUCGCUCACCACAAAAUCCAAGGCCUUAAAAACAUCUUCAUCGUAAACACCUGGAGAUUUCUGAAGAGCACGCCAUUGGCCGUCAUUAAAUGCCCAAGUUCUGCAGACUGUAAGACCCACUGAAGAUGCUUGUUGGAAAACCUCAGUGACUUUUCCUCUGGUAGAUUGGUCCGCAGCAAAUACCAUCAGCCAGUAUGUGUUGAAGCCAUUAACAUAGAAAGGUUGGUCAUUGACCACAAACUGGAUCCCUUUCUUCCCCACCAUUUCCCAUGCAUCUUCUUCCAUAUCAUUCACCUGAUAAAUCCCUUGACUGGCACUAGAAUAUGGUAAAUGGCUGUCCACUUCCUCCACUAUCAGUUCAACUUGCUCAUUCCCAGCUGGAACAUUAAAGCCAUUACUGGACUUGGGACUUACAAGGAACAUAAGCAAAAAAGCCAGUGAAAGAAUAUUAUUAAACCAAAAUAUUCUCUUGUGGGUAUCCAUGGUAUUGACCAAUCAGUAGUAUGAUGCGUUUUGCCUCCUCCUUGGACCACAUAUUUAUAUCUAGCAUCUCAUAAUACUUUUUUUUUCUUAUGCUGGGUAACAGAAUUGUGAUUUUCAAGAAGAGUGUUGAAGUGAGAAGCAACCUUCUGGCUUCAAAGCAAAGAAAAUCUUUUCUUUCUUGUCUCUACCAUUCCCUUCUCUUCCAAACACGGUCAGCAGCGAUGUAGAUAAUUUAGGUUGCUGUAUACGUAAGCAAAGUUGGAGGUAUCACUCCCAAGGUAAGUUAUAGAAGGGUCCAACGAGAUAAUGAGACCCUGAAAGUAUUAUUAAACUAGCUUUCUGUUCAGAUGUCAUCACGUCAAAGUGACAAUUUCAUUGCAUAUAUCAACAAAUACACCAACAACUAUCGCUAUAUAUAGAAAGAAAUCGAUCCACUUCGUUUGUCCUUGGCUAGCUAAUGGCUUGUAGGAAUAGGAUUGAGAUAAUGGAGGAGAAAGAAGAAGAAGCAGCGGCUUGUACGAAUGGAGCAAUGAA